AUUGAACGCUGGCGGCAGGCCUAACACAUGCAAGUCGAGCGGAUGACGGGAGCUUGCUCCUUGAUUCAGCGGCGGACGGGUGAGUAAUGCCUAGGAAUCUGCCUGGUAGUGGGGGACAACGUUUCGAAAGGAACGCUAAUACCGCAUACGUCCUACGGGAGAAAGCAGGGGACCUUCGGGCCUUGCGCUAUCAGAUGAGCCUAGGUCGGAUUAGCUAGUAGGUGAGGUAAUGGCUCACCUAGGCGACGAUCCGUCACUGGUCUGAGAGGAUGGUCGGUGACACUGGAGCUGAGACACGGUCGAUAGUGCUACGGGAGGCAGCGGUGGGGAAGAUUGGACAAUGGGCGAAAGCCUGGUACAGCCAUGCCGCGUGUGUGAAGAAGGUCAUCGGUUUGUAAAGCACUUUAAGUUGGGAGGAAGGGCAGUAAGCUAAUACCUUGCUGUUUUGACGUUACCGACAGAAUAAGCACCGGCUAACUCUGUGCCAGCCGCCGCCGUAAAAC
rnacentral:rRNA from 1 species